UAUAUAUUCAUGUUAUAAAGGAAAUAUCUACAUUUCCAUCUAAUUCUCUUGAUUGCCAACGGAUCCAUUACAUGUCACCUAUGAGGAGAUUAGACAAAAUGUGUUCUCGAGUACCAAACCUUCACACAAAUAUUAUUCUUCAAUCACUUGACUUCAUAAAUUACAGAGGACCGAACGAAAGUACUCAAUUCGUAAUUAGUUUUGAGGAUGGAAGUCUUUUCUCCUUAGAUGAAUAUAAUAAGGAUAAAAUGUGAAGUGAAUUUGGACGCCAAAGAAAAAAAAAAAACGGAAUUUGGCAGAGUAGAUCCCUUUUGUAUAUUGAAUUAUUGAUAAAGAUAUAGAUUGGUACAUAUGUAAAUGGAAGUUAAGACAUUAGCCGAAGAGUGGCAGUAUCCACGAAACCAAUAAACAGACAAGUUACUGAUGAAUACAUGAUCUUUACUAAAAAGUUAUACAAAGAACUCCGUACAACAAAUGCAGCUCAGAAAGACUGGUUUCAUUGGCAGCCAAACAAUUUGGUUCUAUGUAACAAAAUUUACCAUCAAGUGCCUAAUAAUUUAUUGCGUUGGAGCUGCUAAAAAUUGACCAAAUGUAACAGAAGCAUACUUACGAAAGAA